rnacentral:tRNA from 1 species
GUAAAAGUGUCAGAAGUUUAUGAGUUGAUUUUAAGCGUCAGGUAUAGAGAUUUAUUCUCUCUUUUACU